GACGAACGCUGGCGGCGUGCUUAACACAUGCAAGUCGAACGGAAAGGCCCUGCUUUUGUGGGGUGCUCGAGUGGCGAACGGGUGAGUAACACGUGAGUAACCUGCCCUUGACUUUGGGAUAACUUCAGGAAACUGGGGCUAAUACCGGAUAGGCGCUCCUGCUGCAUGGUGGGGGUUGGAAAGUUUCGGCGGUUGGGGAUGGACUCGCGGCUUAUCAGCUUGUUGGUGGGGUAGUGGCUUACCAAGGCUUUGACGGGUAGCCGGCCUGAGAGGGUGACCGGACACAUUGGGACUGAAAUACGACCCAGACUCCUACGGGAGGCAGCAGUGGGGAAGAUUGCACAAUGGGCGGAAGCCUGAUGCAGCAACGCCGCGUGGGGGAUGACGGCCAUCGGGUUGGAAACCACUUUCGCCUGUGACGAAACGUGAGUGACGGUAAUGGGUAAAGAAGCACCGGCUAACUACGUG
rnacentral:rRNA from 1 species